GAUGAACGCUGGCGGCGUGCCUAAUACAUGCAAGUCGAGCGAACGGACGAGAAGCUUGCUUUUCUGAUGUUAGCGGCGGACGGGUGAGUAACACGUGGAUAACCUACCUAUAAGACUGGGAUAACUUCGGGAAACCGGAGCUAAUACCGGAUAAUAUUUUGAACCGCAUGGUUCAAAAGUGAAAGACGGUCUUGCUGUCACUUAUAGAUGGAUCCGCGCUGCAUUAGCUAGUUGGUAAGGUAACGGCUUACCAAGGCAACGAUGCAUAGCCGACCUGAGAGGGUGAUCGGCCACACUGGAACUGAGACACGGUCCAGACUCCUACGGGAGGCAGCAGUAGGGAAUCUUCCGCAAUGGGCGAAAGCCUGACGGAGCAACGCCGCGUGAGUGAUGAAGGUCUUCGGAUCGUAAAACUCUGCUAUUAGGGAUGAACAUAUGUGUAAGUAACUGUGCACAUCUUGACGGUACCUAAUCAGAAAGCCACGGCUAACUACGUG
rnacentral:rRNA from 1 species